UACGGAGGGUGCAAGCGUUAAUCGGAAUUACUGGGCGUAAAGCGCACGCAGGUGGCUGAGUCAGUCGAUUGUGAAAGCCCUGGGCUUAACCUGGGAAUUGCAGUCGAUACUACUCAGCUAGAGUAUGGGAGAGGGCAGUGGAAUUCCCGGUGUAGUGGUGAAAUGCGUAGAGAUCGGGAGGAACACCAGUGGCGAAGGCGGCUCGCUGGGCCGGACCUGACGCUGAGGCGCGAAAGCCAGGGGAGCAAACGGG
rnacentral:rRNA from 1 species